rnacentral:rRNA from 1 species
AAAGCGAGCGGCGGAUGGGUGAGUAACACGUGGGGAACCUGCCCCAUAGUCUGGGAUACCACUUGGAAACAGGUGCUAAUACCGGAUAAGAAAGCAGAUCGCAUGAUCAGCUUUUAAAAGGCGGCGUAAGCUGUCGCUAUGGGAUGGCCCCGCGGUGCAUUAGCUAGUUGGUAAGGUAAAGGCUUACCAAGGCGAUGAUGCAUAGCCGAGUUGAGAGACUGAUCGGCCACAUUGGGACUGAGACACGGCCCAAACUCCUACGGGAGGCAGCAGUAGGGAAUCUUCCACAAUGGACGCAAGUCUGAUGGAGCAACGCCGCGUGAGUGAAGAAGGUUUUCGGAUCGUAAAGCUCUGUUGUUGGUGAAGAAGGAUAGAGGUAGUAACUGGCCUUUAUUUGACGGUAAUCAACCAGAAAGUCACGGCUAACUACGUGCCAGCAGCCGCGGUAAUACGUAGGUGGCAAGCGUUGUCCGGAUUUAUUGGGCGUAAAGCGAGCGCAGGCGGAAGAAUAAGUCUGAUGUGAAAGCCCUCGGCUUAACCGAGGAACUGCAUCGGAAACUGUUUUUCUUGAGUGCAGAAGAGGAGAGUGGAACUCCAUGUGUAGCGGUGGAAUGCGUAGAUAUAUGGAAGAACACCAGUGGCGAAGGCGGCUCUCUGGUCUGCAACUGACGCUGAGGCUCGAAAGCAUGGGUAGCGAACAGGAUUAGAUACCCUGGUAGUCCAUGCCGUAAACGAUGAGUGCUAAGUGUUGGGAGGUUUCCGCCUCUCAGUGCUGCAGCUAACGCAUUAAGCACUCCGCCUGGGGAGUACGACCGCCAAGGUUGAAACUCAAAGGAAUUGACGGGGGCCCGCACAAGCGGUGGA